AUGUUUACUUUUGAAAUCUAUUUUAGGCUCAUUGCUUGUUUGAGGAUUCUAAUGACAAUUUCCCUUUGUGUUUUGGCUUGCAGAGUGUUCUUUGUCCCACGAUUGGCGAAUGUUCUUUCGUUAGGGGUUCAGACACCAAUGCCAUUUCUUCAGAGCAUUGUCUACACCUGCAUAGGGUUUGUAAAGAUGAAAAAAAUGCAUGACACACAUCACCAAGAAUCAGGGGUUGUGCCUGGCAAUGCAAUUGAGAAAAGCUUUGGAAUGUGUCACCUGUCCAGCACAGUGUCAGAGGGCAAUGGGCCCUGGUGUGCCCAACACCCAGCAUCUUCAUCAGAUACUGCUUUGACAUCUUCACAGUGA
rnacentral:lncRNA from 1 species